rnacentral:lncRNA from 1 species
GCUUUUGACGUCAUCAGUCAGUCUCAGAUAAGUAAGUAAGCUUUAAAGCUUACUUGUCAUGUGUUAUGGACCUGCUCUGGGGACCUCCUGGGACCUCACAUGUGCCUGUGUGGUAGCGCUCCUCGCAUUAGGGAAGCAAGGCCAAGGCCCAGAAAGGUUAGGUGGCAGGCUGAGGUUGCACAGCCGCAGCCACUGGUCCAUGGCCCUGCCCCCGACACCACUGUGGCCACCUGGGCCAGGAGAGGAACUGCUGUUGACUCAGGUGCUCCUUGGAGUGUGCUACAGCUCUUCCGCAAGAGGGCAUCAGAGAGGGCCAGGCUUUCUUCCAGAGGUGAAGGAGUGUGGCUGCGACUCCCCAGUGACUUAGGGCUGGAACAGCUUGUCAGGGUUGGAGCAAAGCAGAGGUUAAGUUUUAUGACUCAUAGGAAAAGGGACACCUCAUCCCCCGGGUCUGCAGGAGCAAAACCUGUGCCUGCUCCUCCUGUGAAGUAUUCUUCUGUUAAGGGCUCCUCCCGAAGGUACCCUUGAGGGGUUAUUUUCCAGGAGGCCGCCUUGGGAGUCCCCUGCACCCUGGUGCUACAGAACUGACCUUGGCCUUGAAGGAGACAUUCACUGAGGACUUCACGGGAAGCAGCAAUACCUUGUAGCCUUCCUCUGGCUUCCAUUAAACCUGACCCCUCUGUGGGUUCUGGCCAUUUCUUUGGCUUGAAGAUCUUUGGCUGCUCCUUUCUGAAUAGAAAAUGAUGGAGGAAGCCCCUGCACCUGCCCUGUGUCACCUACCUGUUGGUCUUCCAGGAAGUGAAACAUGAGGUCAUAAAGCGUAAGGAGACGGGAAGCAAGAAGAGAGUAUAUUAAACCUUAGGCCUUACAGACAAGAAUAAAAUGGAGUCCACAUUCCCUGCCCUUCCAUAAAAUAAAGACUCUG